GGUCGCGAGGAUAUAGAAAUAAAUGUGAUGACUACCUCCUCAAAACAAGACUUGGCGCGGUUACGGUAGCGGUGCGACGAACCGGUGUGCCCUUUUCAGGUAGCUUACUUUGCCCUGCUUCUCCCUUUUCUUUUUAUCACCUGUAACUAAAGCAAGCUUCUCCUUCUUUUUGCUCGAUCCGCGUCUAGUAGGGUUGAGGGUUCUCCUCUCUUUUUUUUGUGUCCUCCGCCGCAAUGAAUAGUAACUCUAUAUAUCCUUCAAAUUAGGGUGUGUCUUCUUUUUCAUACGUGUGAGAGAUGAGGACAAAAGCGUGUGAACCCAAGGCAACACAAAAGCUGGGUUCUGAAUCAAACCCCCCGACAGUGGCUUGUCCUCUGGCCCUGAUUUCAUGGUCUUGGUGGGGUAAACAUGUACUGGAGUGGGUAGGGAUUUUUUCAGGUAGUGAAAGUUUGCCUUCUCACUCUUAAGUGGUCCCUCUUUCUCGACCCUACACUGAUCACAACAUACAACUUCACUGUUACGUGAAUUUACUCCUUAGCACUUUUAUUAUAUUUCAGGACUUUGUCGUGUUUGGUGGUUCGUCUUGUCACAAUCUUGGCAUUAACAUAAUGUUCUCUUUUGCUUCUAGGUUCAAAAAGGGCGGUCGGACGGACUUGAAGGCAAAGUAACACAAAAAUCAUGGAGCAAACGAAACAUCAAUCGUCGCAGCGGGAGCUUGAUCGGGGAAUUCAACUCAAUGGAAAUAGGAUAACAUAAGGGUCUAGGAAACAAGUCCUGGAUUUCACGCCUCUUCUCUUCUCUCCUCUUGUUGAUUUUGAGAAUACUAAAACUGAUUCUUGUAGCUCACACCAUGCCGACAUUCACUUACGGUAAGCUUUUUCUUCUUUGUUCAUGCCAUCUUAUGUGUGUCGUAGGCUUGGCGAAUUUAUGCUGAAAUUGUUGUGUUUGAUACCGUGCAGGAUCAUCUUUGACAUACACUCUUUGUACCUCUUUGGUUCCUGAAACUUGUUCAUCGCCCGGGGACUUUGAAGCUGCAGCAGCACGUGUGGCCUCCUUAACAGGCAUUGCCGACAUUGCCAUGACAUCAGGCGUAGCACCAGUAUAAACAUUUGACAACUGACCAAACCAUUUAAGAGACGAAUCAACGUUACAAACAUUGAGAUAAAGGUUGUCAUUUAAACACAAGGCUCCUUCCAAUUCCAUUGAUAGUCUUUGUAGAAAUAACAUUCUCAGGAUAACUCGCCAGGUAAAUUUAGCAUAAACAUCUUGCUUAUGGUAUAUGCAGAUGUUCUGAAUACCCCUAGGUUGACGUAUGUAAAAAUCAAGCAUUCUCACACAUUCAUCAACAUUAACAUAAUAGUUAUUUUUGAAUUACUGUAAUCCUUGUUUGGGACUGCUAUGAAUUUCCUGCUACAACUUGUUGUUGGUGCAAUGUUCGACUGACAUUAUUACAUUGUGAAUUGGUAGGUUUGUCAAUAGAAAGCCGCAGGCUUGGUUUCUUGGUGCGCCGCUAAUGAAUAGACUUGGAGGUGUAUCACGGCAUGGUGGUAUGGACUAAUUUACCACAGCAGGAACACUGUAACAUUUUUUCCUUUCCUCCUCAGUGGUGCAAAUUUCACAUAUCUGAAAAUCCUCAUCAGAGUCAAUAGAUUCGCUGUCAGAAUCACUUUCAGGUUCUUCCUCACUUUUUGCAUCACUAGGAGGUUCCCACUUGGCGACUUUUAUGACCCUUCCUUUUAAUGAAACACCAGGGGUUGCAGAGUUCCUUGUGUCUUCGAAUAGUAUAAUAUCUGCCGAGUUCAACACUCGAAGAGCCCUGAAUGUGAUGUCUUCAAGAUUUCCAAUCGGUGUUCCGACGAGAUAAAGACCGGGUUUCAGAUGCUACGGGCGACGAUUAUCUG
rnacentral:lncRNA from 1 species